UACGUAGGGUGCGAGCGUUGUCCGGAAUUAUUGGGCGUAAAGCGCACGUAGGCGGCUUUGUAAGUUGGAUGUGAAAUCCCUCGGCUCAACCAAGGAAGUGCAUCCAAAACUACAGAGCUUGAGUACUUAAGAGGAUCGCGGAAUUCCCGGUGUAGAGGUGAAAUUCGUAGAUAUCGGGGAGGAACACCAGUGGCGAAGGCGGCGUCUGGGGAAGAUACUGACGCUGAGGAGCGAAAAGCAUGGGGAGCGAACAGG
rnacentral:rRNA from 1 species